AAGUCAAAGUAGCGUCUAGGAAGUUUCUAGGAAGCUUCUAUAUUAAAUAUUAUAGAAUUAACUUACUUUUAUCUAUUUUUAUUUACUUCUACCUAUUUCUAUAUGUAAUUGUUAGCUUACAUGAUUAUGGCCAUGACAUUACCCCCCCUUCUAGAGACGAGUUCUACGAGGAGCGGUCAUCAUAUGUUGAGGAAAUCUAUGAUGCGACAAAUUGUAUUCGCCACAUACUCUGAUCUCUGUUCUCUUCGAAGAUGAUUGAUAGGGCCUCUCAACCAUCGGUAGUGUCCCAUACCAGGGCGGGAAGACCACCCAGUUAUUUGAUCAUUGUUGAGGCCUUCGUAACUUCCUUCGAAUAGAAUAUUUGGAACACCAUCAGGAGUUGUUCCUACCUCUAGCAAAAUCACCAAACAUCGGGAGUCCCUUCCCAAAUCGUGAUACCAAACGCGUUGUAUCUCACCAUCUAUUCGAGGAAGAACAUGUCGUUCUUGAAGAUGUUCAUCUCGAUUGCGUCGUCUUGAAGGUUGUGACAAUCGUAAUGUCUCAUCCGACAGGUCAGCAAACAAAGGUUCUUGAGUUGAAUCCGCUGGUUGUUGGCUCUCCAUCUAAUUAGCGUCACAAAUGUAAAGAAGUUACAAACAAGGAUAGGAAAUUGAAUGUUAUCUUGCCUCAAUCUUGUCUCUUUUAUAAGAGAGAUUUUCAUCUUGGUUUCGAUGGAUGUCGUUGAUGAAAAACUUUGACUUUAGCUGAUGCAUUUGCUAGAUUCCUGGAUGGCUCCCAUGUGCGUUCACUAAUAUCAUAUCCGUGCCAAUGAACAAGAUAUUCCAGCUUAUUUCGGCGCCGCCUUGAGUCUAAUAUCUCUUCCAUCUCAAAUUCUUCAUUAUUAUCUACUUCUAUAGGAGGCAGUGGCAUUUGUCUUCUUCCUUGUAUAUCCACUGUCUUAUAUGGUUCAAGAAGAGACACGUGGAAUACAAGAUGGAUCUUCAUUGACUCCGGUAGAUAUAACUGAUAUGCAACUGGGUUGAUCUGUUCAGAAACAGAAAAGGGGCCAAGCCUACGAUAGUCCAACUUGUCACAAGGUCGAGUAGUCUUGAUAUUGCGAUGAAGUAGCCAUACCUUAUCACCCACAUUGAGUUGUGGUUGCUCCUUACGAUAUAGAUCUGCAUUUAUCUUUUGUCGUUCUUGAGCUUCCUUCAAUUGCGUCUUCAUUAUUGAAUGUAACUCUGACAAUCGAUUUGCCAUAUCUUCUGCUACAGGAUUAUCAACUUUUGAAAAAUCAAAAGUAUCAAGUCGUGGAUGAUAGCCAUAAUUGGCAAAGAAAGGUGUUUGUUGCGUGGAAGAAUGUACCGUAUUAUUAUAAGCAAACUUUGCCAAUGGCAGAAGGGUUGUCCAAUCAUCUUGUUGGUAGUUGAUAGUAUACCGUAAAUAUUGCUCCAAGACUUAAUUUACGCGCUCUGUUUGUCCAUCAGUUUGAGGAUGGAAAGCCGAAGAUAGCUUUAUGUCCACUUUUAAAAUCUUGAAAAGGAUCCUCCAAAAUCUUGACACAAAUUGAGUUCCCCUAUCCGAUCUGAUAUCUUUAGAUAAUCCAUCAUAGCGAUAGAUAUUAUCAAUGAAAAGCUUAGCUGUUUCUUCACCUGUGAUAGAUUUUGUACAUGGCACAAAAUGUGCCAUCUUGGUGAAACGAUCUACUAUCACAAAUAUAGAAUCAUGAGAUCUUGAGCUUGGAAGAUCUGUGAUGAAAUCCAUAGAAACAGAAGACCAUGAUUGUUCUAGUAUAGGUAAUGGCUGAAGAAGUCCGUAAGGUCGAUGACGAGGAAUUUUUGAUCUUGAACAAAUAUCACAUGAUUGUACAAAGUCUUUGACUGACUUGCACAUUUGUGGCCACCAAAAAUCUCUUGAUAUGAGUUCCAAAGUCUUAUUAUAUCCAAAGUGCCCUGCUGUUGGAAAGUCAUGACGUGCUUGAAGAACACGUAAACGUGCUUCUCCUUCUGGAACAUAUAGGCGUCCUUCAAAAUAUAAUAGAUUAUUCUUGAACUCGAACUUAGAAGGAUCAUGAGACUUGGAAGAAUUAUUCUCGAUAUCAUAAACAAGAGGGUCUGAGGACAUACUGGACUGGAUUUGCUUGAGAAAAGUUGAAUCAACAGUCAAUGUUGAUUUCAUUGCUCGGAGAUGAAAUUGCUCCGGUUUCAAGAGGACCAUUCUUUGUUGCUCAAAAGCUGCAUCUCUUUCUUUUGGUGCAAAAUAAGAACGUCUAGAUAGGGCAUCAGACAAACCUUGUUGUUUUCCUAGCCAAUAAGUGAUAAUGAACUCGAAUCUUGACAAAGACAUACUCCAACGAGCUUGACGACGAUUCAACACGCGUGCUGAUAUGAAAUACUCGAGGUUCUUGUGAUCUGUAUACACAGUGACUGGACUAGAAGCGCCUUCUAGAUAAUGACGCCAUUCUUGAAAGGAAUCCACGAUCGCAAGAAGUUCUUUAUCGUGGAUCUCAUAAUUGAUCUCGGCUGCUGAGAAUUUUCUUGAAUGAAAAGCUAUCGGAUGAAGUUUGUCAUCUGUUCCCAUUUGUGAUAAAACUGCACGCAAGGCAAAAUCUGAUGCAUCUGUUUCCAUAAAAAAUGCCUUGGAAAAGUCAACACGAUAUAAGACUGGUGCAGAGACAAACGAUGUCUUCAAGGCUUCAAAUGCUGCUUCCGCUUCUUGAUUCUAUUGGAAUUUAUCUUUACUAGUCAAGCGUGUAAGUGGAGCUGCAACUCGUGAGAAAUCUUUGAUAAAGAUUCGAUAAUAAUUAGCAAAUCCCAAGAAACAUUGGACAUCUCUUACUGUCCUUGGAAUCUUCUAAUCCAUGAUUGUUUGGACUUUCUUAGAAUCCAUCAUGAGACCAUCAUUUGAAAUGAUGUAUCCUAAAAAGUCAACUUGAGUAGUGUGAAAUACACACUUUUCCAUCUUGGCGUACAAUCCUGCAUCUCUAAGUUUUUGUAAUACUUGACGAACAUGUAUUUCAUGUUCUUCGACGUUCUUAGAAUAGAUCAGGAUAUCGUCUAGAUAGCAGACGAUAAAAUUGUCUAAGAAUUCACAAAAUACAUCAUUCAUGAGAUGUUGAAAAGCAGCUGGUGCAUUCGUGAGUCCAAAGGGCAUGACAUUAUAUUCGAAAUGUCCAUACCUGGUUCGAAAUGCAGUCUUCCAUUCAUCUCCUUCUUUGAUCCGUACUAGAUUAUAUGCUCCUCUUAGAUCUAUUUUUGUAUAGAUCUUAGCUUGAUUCAACUGGUCAAGGAGUCCUGAUAUCAAAGAUAAUGGAUACCUGUUCUUGAUUGUGAUCUUAUUGAGUCCUCGAUAAUCAACACACAUUCGUAAAGAUCCAUCUUUUUUCUUUACGAAUAGAAUUGGAGCUCCUGCUGGAGAUUUUGAAUGGCGUAUGAAAUUCUUCGCUAAAUUCUCAUCAAUAUAUGUCUUGAGUUCAGCCAACUCAUCUUGCGAUAAACUGUAAAUUGGUCCAAAUGGUGGCUGAGUUCCUUCCUUGAGAUCGAUUGAACAAUCAUAUGGACGAUGCUCAGGAAGAAUAUCUGCAUUCUUUUUCUCAAAAACGUCUUGAUACUCCUGAUAUUGACUUAGAAUGCUACUUGAAGUCUUUACGUUUUCAGAAAUAGGUGCAGCAUAAAUAGCAAAAGUUGAUCCUUCUUUUUCUGCGUGUAUAAAUGCUUUUGCACCUAUCAGUACGGGUUUUACUAUACUAGACUUAUAAUUUUUUACUUGGUUGGUAGAGCUAUUAAUAACACUUUAGAAAAAGUCAAGUUUACGCGAAUUCCAAUCUAUUCGAGGGUUAUAUUUUUCUAGCCAGGAUAAACCUAAAAUAACUGAAUUGGACGGGGAUUUAAUUAUGUUAAAAGCUAUGUAGCUAUCAUGACCGUCUAUUGUUACUUUUAUAGGAUGAGUUUCAUGAGUGACAUCUCCAGAAGACAAGGGACGACCAUCUAUGACUUCUACAUGUACUGGUUUAGGUUUCUGUACAAAGGGUAUUUUACGACUUUUAACAAAUUGUUCAUCUAAAAAACAUGCUAAGGCUCCCGAAUCUAAUAAAGCAGAGGCUUUGUAAUUCUUAGGUCCUAAAUAUAAGUCUAUUAUAAAACAAGGAGAGGGUUCUGAGGAGAGGAUAGGACCUUCAUUAGGAAUUGUACAAGGUUCCAGCUGCACGGUCCCUAUUGUAGCUGGACGAAUCCGUUUUCCGACAUGUUGUUUUCUUUGACCGUCGUACCCCUCAUUUUAUAGUUGCGUCUUUUCUUUGGACAAUGUUGAGCAGUGUGCUUAGGUUCUCCGCAAUAUAAACAUAAUCCUUCUUGACGACGACGAAUCUUUUCUUGCUCAGUUAAGGGUUUAAAACGUACCGCGUCAAUUUACAUGUCUUCUACUUCCAAAUGUACGUUUGGCAAAGAUGUUGAUGUUGCCAUUGAGUAAUAACGUUGAGGUUCUCCUGAAUGAUUCUCGGAUCAAAAUUUGAAAAGUCGAUUAUCACAUUUUAUCGCAAAAUCGAUUGCUUGACUCAAAGUUUGAGGAUCAGGUAAGUUGAGCAUCAAUUUCUUUACUUCGUAUUGCAAUCCAUAAAGAAAUUGACUGAUGAAUGCAGCAUCAUCCCACUUGAUGUCAAUUACAAGUUGUCGAAAUUAUGAAGCAUACACUGUUACUGAGCGAUUUUCUUUUCGCAGAAUUUGGAUCUUAUUUGUUGCAACACGAGUUGCAUCGUGUUCACUAUACAUAGAUCGAAACUCCGCCAAAAAAGCUUCCAAAUUGUCCAAUAUUAGAUUUCGUUGUUCAAGAAAAGACGAAAACCACGAUAAUGUAGAACCAGAAAGUAGAGUGCCAAUAAACCUGACUUGUGAUCCUGGAGUUGGAUAGCUUUGUGGUUGAAGUUCAAUUGCGAAUUGUACUUGAUUGAUGGACCCUCGAAACUUUGAUCUCGUACCAUCAAAUUUCUCAGGUAAGGCAAUUCUUGGUUCUCUAGUGCUUAUAGGGUGUUGUACAAUUGGAGAGAGAACGUGAUUUGUUGUAGAUGUUGAAGCAGCUCCGAUCAUCUCUAUAUCCCCACUUUCUGCUAUUCUUGUUCUUUCCUGUGUUGGUGAAUUGAGUUGAUGCAUCGCAAGCAUUAACUCCCUCAUUUGCUCUUGCAUUUGUGCCAUUGCACUCUUCAUUUCAACAAGCUCUGCCAUAAUGACACUAAGAAGAAAAAUUUGUUUGAUAUUGCUCAAGACAAAAGAAAAGAAAGACUUGAUAACAAAGAAGAUACUAAGAACAAUAUCAGUUUAGAAGUGGGUAAUCCGCAAACUUCUAAUACGCUUAUGUCUUGUCAAGAGAAAGGGGUAAUCCACUCUUACUCAAGAAAAAACAAAGCUCUGAUAUUGUAAGUGUACUCUUGUCAAUCUGUCAAGGACAAGAACUCGAUGAAAAAACAGUUUAGACAAGUAAGCCUUCACUCAAAGAAAAGUAAGAAAAUAUGAAUAAUAAGUAUGUAUAUUGAAAAGAGAAACUAGAAUGGCUAUUGCCAAAAGACAAGAAAACUAGAGACCCUUGAAACUAGACUAGAAGCAAGAAAAGAGUUGACAAGAGUGAAGAAGCCUUCACUCUUGUCUCUAUAUAUACUAACUAACUAGGGGCUACGUGGCGACGUUCUAUAGGACCUCCAAUAUGUGUUGACUUUGUAGGACACAUGCCUUGACUUACAAGGCAAGUUUUUCUACGUGUGGGCCACAUAGUUAGCUUAAUCUUCAAGCUAACAACAUGUGUGGCACAUGGCCAACUUGUUGACCACGUUUCUAAUCCAAAAAGUCAAUUAAAGACACCUAUGAAGUCAAAGCAACGUCUAGGAAGUUUCUAGAAAGCUUCUAUAUUAAAUAUUAUAGAAUUAACUUACUUUUAUCUACUUUUACUUACUUCUACCUAUUUCUAUAUGUAAUUAUUAGCUUACAUGAUUAUGGCCGUGACAGUAGCUCCUAGUUAAGAGUAUAUAUGGAGGCAAAAGUGAAGCCUUCUUCACUCUUGUCAACAUCUUUUUAGUCCUUAGUCUUAUUUCAAGAUUUUCUAGUCUUCUUGACUUUGGCAAUAGUCAUUUUAUUUUAAUAAUAUAUCAUUUUUGAGUGACUUUCUAGUUCUUUUUAAUGACACAUGAGUGCAUUGAAGAUUUUCUUUCUUCGAGAUUCAUGUCCUUGAUAGUUAGACGAGAAUACUAACAUAUUGUUUUUGUCUUGUUUUAGAAGUGAGUAGAUUACUUCACUUCUAUUGUUGUAUUUUGAAGGUUGUAGACUAUCCAUAUUUAUAUAUAUAUAUAUAUAUAUAUAUAUAUAUAUAUAUAUAUAUAUAUUUAACACUAAUCUUUUUUUUAAAGAAAGUAGAUUAUUCUUUUUUGUAGAAAUUUUUAUUAGAGGUUGCGGAUUAUUCUCCUCUAAUUUAAUUUUUUAAAUUUAUUUGAAUUAUCUAUAGAAGAAAAGAUUAUGGAUGCUAUUCUUAGCAGAAGUGAGAAUAGAUUUAUAACUAUUGUGGAGCUUCAUGAGCUUUUCAAUAUUCUUAGGGCAAAAAUUUCAAGCAUCAUCAAUGUCAAUCAAGGGAGUACUACUUCUAUAUCUAUGGAAGAAGUCCAGAGUCUACAUCAAGAAGUUGUACAGUUGAGGGAAACAAGUCAAUCAACCUCACAACCAAAUUCAAAGAAUCUUGCAUCUAUAAGGUCAAGAGAGACAAGAAUUAGUAUGCUUGAAAAGUUUGAUGGAACAAGAUCAAAAUUACAAGGGUUUUACAACAAAUUAAGCUCUACUUAAGGUUACAUCCUUUCCAAUACGUAGAUGGAUUUAGUUAAGUCAGCUUUAUAGACACACUUCUAUCUAAAAGUACUCUUUUCUGAUUUGCACCUUUGAUGGAAAAGAAUUCAUGACUUCUUUAUGAUUUAAAUUUAUUCUUAGAAGUAUUUAUAAGUAUAUUCAGAGAAAAUAAUCAAGAAUGAGUAGCAAAGACCAAACUCUUAUCUUUACAAUAAGAAUCAUAAUUAGCUACUACAUAUGUUGUUCAAUUCCAAAAUCUUGCUUGGGACAUGGAUUAGAAUGACAAAACGCUUAUCAAUCAAUUUUAACAUGGAUUGAAGGAUAACAUCAAAGAUUUGUUAUUAACAAUGCCGAAAGCAAAAUCUUUGGAAUAAUUUAUUGCUCAAGCCAUUACAUACAAUAAUCAAUUAUUUAAAAGGUAUUAAGAACAAAGGCAUUGUUAGAGAGGAACAAAUCAAAUAAUAGUGGCAACUUCUAAGUUUUCUGAAAUAUAUUCAUCAAGGUAAGAACUAAUGCAAAUUGAUAUGAUAUAUUUUAAACCUCUUAUAGAAUAAGAAAAGACUCAAUGUCACUAAAAAGGUUUAUGUUUAUAUUAUGGAGAAGCCAAGCACAGUGCUCAAUAUUGUCCAAAGAAGCAUCUCAAUUACAAAAUAAGGAUCACAAUUACCAAAGAAGAUAAUAUGUCAAAAAAUGAGUUUUUUCAGCUACAAUAGGAAUUAUGUGGCUGGAAUCAUGUCUAAUAUCUAGUAAAGGUUCUAUUUUUUUUCAGUCUGCUGGCCUUGUUUUAUAAUAAAUGUGUAUUUAGGACCUAAAAAUCACAAAAUCUUUGCUUUAUUAGAUUCAAGAGCAUCAGCCUAUUUUAUAGAUAAAGAUUUUGUCAAAAAUCAAAAAAUAUCUUUAGUCUAGAAGUCAUAGAUGGUCGUUUAUUGUCUUUUGAAAAUAUUAUGUAUGAGACUGUUCUUUUAGAUGUAACAAUUAAAGAUCAUAAAAACAUAGUAAUAUUUAAUACAAUAAGAUCUCCCUCCAAUCUGAUUAUUUUAGAAUUAUCAUGGCUAAAAAAAUAUAAUCCUCAAAUAGAUUGGAUUUCUCAUAAUCUUAAUUUCUUUGGUAGUAUAAUCUAAGAUCAGAUUAGUAAAAUAGAAGUACAUAAGUUUAAUAGAUUCAAACCUUUAUUAGUAGGUGCGAGAGCUUUCAUGCAUACUGUAAAAGAAGGAUCAUCUUUUGUUAUAUAUACUACAUCUAUUUCUAAUGAUAAAAAAAUAUUAAGUAGUAUUCUUAGCCAAUAUUAAGAAUUUUAAGACUUUUUGAAAAAAAAAAUGCAUAUAUUCUUCUAGAGCAUCAACCUUAUGAUUAUUCAACUGAUCUACAAGAAGGAGCUCAAUUACCAUUUGGACCAAUCUAUAGCUUGUCGCAGAAUGAGUUGGAUGUAUUAAAGGAAUAUAUUGAUGAAAACUUGGCAAAGAACUUAAUAUGUCAUUCUAAAUUUCCAACCAAGGUUCUUAUCUUAUUUCUGAAGAAGAAAGAUGGAUCUCUAUGAAUAUAUGGAUUAUCAAGGACUCAAUAAGAUCACCAUCAAAAAUAGGUGUAUUUUGCCUUCGAUUUUAAAAUUUUUUGAUGAACUCAAUCAAACAAAGAUCUAUACCAAAAUAGAUCUACAAGGAGCAUACAAUUUAAUUUAUAUUAAAGAAAGAGAUGAAUGGAAGACUACUUUUCGAACUAAGUAUAGAUAUUUUGAAUAUAAUGUUAUACUUUUUGGACUCAUGAAUGCAUUAGCUACUUUUCAAUAUCUUAUGAAUGAUUUUUUUUGUGAGUUUCUAGAUGAUUUUCUCAUUUGCUAUUUAGAGAAUAUUCUAAUCUACUCUAAGAAUAGAGAAGAAUAUGAAGUUCAUAUUUGUCACGUAUUACAAAAAUUCAUAAAUACAAGAUUAUAUGCCAAGUUAGAAAAGUAUGUAUUCCACACUACUCAAGUUGACUUUUUAAGAUAUAUCAUUUCCAAUGAAGGCCUUAUGAUAGAUCCCAAGAAGAUCCAAAUUACCAUAGAUUGGAAGAUUCUAAGAAUAAUAUGAGAUGUAGAAUAUUUUUUAGGCUUUGCUAAUUACUACCAAAUCUUCAUCAAGAAUUUUUUUCAAAUUAUAGCUCUACUUAUAUGUUUGACUUGUAAAUACAAACUUAAGUGGAAUAAAGAAGUAGAAGCAUUAUUUGAUGGUUUAAAGAAGGAUUUUACUUUUACACCAAUCUCGCAUUGCAUCAACUUUUCUAAGGCAUUUUUUGUGGAAAUAAAUGCAUCGGACUUUGUUAUGGAUGUCAUAUUGUCACAAAUAAGAACAGAUGUCAAAAUCUACCUAGUAGCUUUCUAUUUCAAGAAAUUUUUAGUAGCCAAGAUUAAUUAUAAGAUCUAAAAUAAAGAGCUCUUUAUAAUUGUGGAUUCAUUUGAAGAAUAAUGUCAUUAUCUAAAAGGCAUUUGAAGUCCAGUCACCUUGUAUAUGGAUCAUAAGAACCUAAAAUAUUUCAUGUUAGCACGUGAUUUUAAUCAUUGUCAAGUCCAUUAGAGCAUGUCUUUAUCCAAAUUCAAUUUCAAGAUCUUUUAUUGACCUAAAAAAUAAGAAGGUCUAUCAGAUGUCCUUUCUAAAUAUUCUUAUCUUACACAAAAAGAAGGAGAUGCAUCUUUUGAUCAACAAAAAAUAAUUCUCUUUAAGUUCAAGCAUUUUCAUCUUUAAGUAAUAAAAUCAACAUUUACUAUUGAUUCAAUCUUUAUCAAGAAAAUCCAAUUAAGUAUGUCCUCUGAUCCUCUUGUUCUUCAUAUUAAGAAUCUAAGUCUCAUGAUAUUUUAAAGUUUGAGUUCAAGAACAACCUUCUCUAUUUUGAAGGAUGCUUAUAUAUUCUAGAAGAGAAGCACAUUUACAUGUUCUUCAAGUACAUCAUGACUAUCGAGCAACAUGAUAUUUUAGAUACAACAAGACUUUAGAGCUUAUAUCUAGAGAUUUUUGGUGGCUAAAAAUCUGAAAGGUGAUAAAAGACUUUGUACAAUCAUAUGAUACUUAUUCAAGAUCCAAAACUCUUCGCCAUUGAUCUUAUGGAUUUCUUCAACCAUUUUCAAUUCCAAAACAACUAUUGUCUUCUAUUUCUAUAGAUUUUAUCAUAAAUCUUCCAAUCUCAGGUUCAUAUGACUCCAUAUUUAUAAUCUUAGAUUGCUUCACCAAAAUAGCAUAUUUUGUACCAUAUACAAAAUUCUAUUUCACGUGAAGAAACAUGUAAUUUUUUCAUUGACAAUAUCUAUUGCUAUCAUGGAUUGUCAAAGGAUAUUAUCUCGAAUAGGAAGAUUCAAUUUAUAGCAAGGUUUUGAAGAAACCUAUUUAAGAUUCUAAAGAUACAUAUAAAGCUUUCUUCAAAUUUUCAUCCUCAAAUUGAUAGACAAACAAAACGAAUGAAUCAAGUUUUGGAGCAAUAUUUGAGGUGUACCAUCAACUAUUAUUAAGAUGAUUAGACAACUCUUUUGCCAUUGGUAAAGUUUGCAUAUAAUAAUUUGAUACAUUCUUCUACUCAACAAACACCUUUCUUUGCCAAUUAUGGUUAUCAUCCACGACUUUAUAUUUUUAACUUUUCAAAAGUUGAUAAACUUGUGGCGAAAGAUUUAGCAAAUCAUUUGUUAGAGCUACAUGCAAAAAUGAAGAUACAAUUAAAAGAUGCUCAAGAACGAAAAAAGACCAAUACGAAUGCUUAUUGCAAGGAGCAACUACAAUUCAAUAUAGGUGACAAGGUAUAGUUACUUCAUCAAAAUAUCAAGACUAUUUACCUUUGUCAUAAAUUAGACUAUUGUAGGCUGAGACCUUUUUCUAUUUGUGAAUAAAUCAAUCUUGUUGUUUAUUGAUUACAUCUACCAAAGUCUUUGAAGAUUCACCUUAUAUUUUAUGUAUUUCUUCUUGAGCCAUAUAAGAUAGUGAAUAUUUUGGAAAGAAGAAAAAUGUGACUUUUCUUAUAGAUAAUAAUCAAGAGUUUGAGGUGGAAGAAGUCUUAGUUUCAAGAUGGUGAUGAAAUAGGUUAGAAUAUCUUGUUCAUUAUAUGGUGUCGUAAUGUAAUACAGAUAAUAAGUGAAAGGGUGAAAAAAAUAUCAUAUUUUGAGGAUCUCACUUCAAAAAUAUUUUAGCAAAUUAUCUUAGAAAAAUAGUUAUUAGUCAAAGGAUAGAAAAUUUAAAGGUGCUAAUACUGCCUAUUUGCAAAUUAUGCUUCUAUUUACUUUGUAAGGCCAUAAAUAAGGCAAAAUAAGCUAGAUUGGAAAAAUAAAGAAUAUAGGCAUAUGUAGGGAGGAGUUAGGAGUGCAAAUUAGUAAAAAUUACCUCAAGAAGACGAAAGUUGAUACUCGAAGAGGACUUGUUAUGAAUCUGGAUCAAAAUCAAAUCCCAAGGCACAAAACCAUGCUGUGAUAGUGAUUCAGGGACUCUUUGGCAUAUUGGAGAAAGGAAUUUGAUAGAAAAUUGAAUAAGGUUUUUAUAAGUGUUGAUUUUGGGUGAUUUGGAGUUGUUAUGACUUUGUAAGAGCUUUGCAAAGUCAAGGUUUGUUUUGGAUGAUUUGGAUUUUAUGAAAUAAAAUAGAGUUUAUAUUUUGGAUAAUUUCAAGAGUUUUGAAAUAGAUCUAUAGGUGAAAUUUUGUGGAUUUAUGGUUAUAGUUGUGUUUAAUAUGUAUCGUGAAUUUGAGCUUGAUCUAACGGUUGAAUUGAGGGAUAUUGAGGUUUAAGUGGGUGAAGGUCUCAGAAAGUAGAAUUUUAGGUCGAGUGGGGGUUUUUGAGAUUUCUUGCAAUCUAUUAAUUAGAUUAGAGUAAAACUUACAUGAGAGGAUAUUAGACUUAUUUUUCUAUGCAUAUAAGAAUUUUGAGGUCAAUCGAUUGGUACAAAAGAGAGAUAUUGGCUCUAGAAGAUUGGCAUCAAGUUUGGAGAAGGAGGCCGGCCAAUAUCCGAGCACAUUUUUGAGAAUAUCGUCAAUUUUGUAACUCCGAUCCUUAUCAAUUUUUUUGUGCUUGUUUUUAACUUAAUUUUUUAGAAGUGUGCAAAAUUUGAGUUAAGAUCGACGGUUUAUUCAUUAGUUAUUGAGGUUUAAAUCUAUUGUAGGAAUUAUUAGGGUUUGGUUUAGGAUUUGAUUAGGAUUUGGUUUGGAAUUUAGGGUUUAGAUUAGGAUUUGAUUUAGGAUUUCGGAUUUUUUUAGGGUUUGAUUUAGGAUUUAGGAUUUGGAUUAGGGUUGGAAUUAGGAUUUAAGAUUUGAAUUAGGAUUUGAUUAGAAUUUGAUUUAGGAUUUAGGAUUUAGUUUAGGGUUUAGGGUUUGAUUAGGAUUAGGAUUUGGUUAGGAUUUAGAGUUAGGAUUGAAUAAGAUUUGACUAGGAUUUUUUUAGGAUUUGGAAUUGAUUAGGAUUUAUUAGGGUUAGGAUUUGUCUAAGAUUUGACUAGGAUAUGUUUAGGAUUUAGGAUUUGUCUAGGAUUUGAUUAAGGUUGGAUUAGAAUUAGGAUUUGGUUAGAAUUUAAGGUUUAUUUAGAUUUUUGUUAGGGUUUGACUAAGUUUUCUUUAAUAUGAUUUUAUAUUUUUUUAGGAUUUCAUUUCAUUUCUUUUAUAACUUCAAUAAAAUUUAAUUGAGCUUGUUUAAUAUUUGAUUAUGAUUGUUAAUAUUUAAUUAUAAUUUUUCUACAAUCCUAUUGGAUUUUUAGAGCUUUUGCUAUAAUUUUCUUUAAUCUUCCACAGUCAAGUGCCCAAUGCAUUCUUAAGCAAGACUUCAUGUAAUACGAUAACAGGUACGAUAUUAGUAAAUACACUUGAAAGAUAUCAAAGAAUCUUAUUAAUGCAAUAAAGAGAGUUGAAGCCUUUCAUCAAUAAAAUCCAUCAAAAUCAAGAUAAAGAAUAGUAAAUUUUUGCUAUAAAAGAAAGAAGAUCAAAGAAAGAUAAUAUUCUAUCUUGUAUCUUUCUUUGAAACUUAUAUGUAUUUGUGAUGUUAAGAAGAUGGAGAACCAACAACUAGCAGAUUCAACUCAAGAGAUUUUAUUUGCAAACUUACUAGAUGAGACAUUGCAUUUGUUACAACUUUUAAAAUGAUAAAAUUGAGAUGAAGAUCUUUAAGAAUGACAUGUCCUUCCUCGAAUAGAUGGCAAGAUACAAUGUGUUUGAUAUCACGACCUUAGAAGAGACUCCCAUUGUUUGGUACUUUUAUUAGAGGUAGGAAUAAUUCCUGAUAGUGUUUCAAAUAUUUUCUUUGAAAGAAGUUACGAAGGCCUCAAUAACAACCAAAUAACAGGGUGGUCUUCUUACCUUGGUAUGAGACACUAUCUAUUACUGAGAAGGCCUAUCAACCAUCUUCGGAGAGAACAAAGAUUGGAGUAUGUGGCAAAUAUAAUUUGUUACAUCUUAAACUUCCUUAACAUAUGAAAACCCCUCGUCGUGGAACUCAUCUCUAAAAAAGGAGGUAAUAUCAUGGAUAUAUACAUUUAUUUCAAUAGUUACUUAUAUAAUUAGGUAGAAGUAGAUAAAUAUAAAUUAAUUUUAUAAAGUCUUCUAGAAAAGCUUUCUAAGAGCUUUAUAGACAUGAUUUUGACUUUAGAUAUAUUUAUAGGAUAGAAACUUGGCCAACAAGUUAACCAUGUAUUGAUAGCUUAUAAGACAAGUUAACUCCAUUGUCGUAUUGUGACACAAUUAUAUAGUAAAAAUAUGACUAAAAAUAUUUUUUUAAUUAAUAUUCUAUUGUAUUAGUUCAAUAAGAAUUCAAUAUAUUUUAAUAAGGCUUUUAUGAAAGCCUCUUAGGCUAUUUUCUUAUCUUAAUAGCAAGUAGAUAAAAGUUAAUAAGUAUUUUUACCUUCUAAGAUAUAGAAAUUCUUUUACUACUUUAGAAAGGCCAUAAAUUGAUAAAAUUACAUUGAAAGAGAUAAGUAAUUAAUAUAGUUGAUACCAGAAUUAAGUUGAGGAUAAGAUUGGAUUAAAAAAUCCUUAGGAUAGGUUAGACUAAUACUCAAGGAUCAAUCAUUUGUGAGACAGGGUCAAAAUCAAACAUAUAGCUACUAAAACAAUUGCCAAGGGCAAAAUAGGGAUUCAUUCAAAGAUUGGAGAUUAGAAUUUGAGAGGUAGGUUGGAAUUUGUUCCAAAGAAAUAGGAUUGGUUUUAAUAGGAUCUUCAUAGGCUUCGAAAGAUGUAAUUAAUAAGCAAUGGAAUUGAUUUGUUCACAAAUAAGAAAAAGUCUUAAUUUACAAUAGUCCAACUGUCACAAAUUUAAAAUACUGACUAAAAAUCUAAAAGAGAAGUUCAAGAAGAGUCGGCAAGAACUAGAUUAAUCAGAUGAAUAUAAAAAAAAUACUAGACAGGUGAGCUAGAGCUUCAAGAGGUGUAUUGUCGAGUCUAUGGAUUCCCUCAGUCUCGGUUCCUAUAUAUACUAUAAGCUAAGAAGCUUCUCAAGCAGCUUCUACGAAUUUAGAAGCUUCUCAAGAAGCUUCCACGAGCUUGAAAACUUCUCAAGUAGCUUCUACAAAGUACAAAGCUUUUCUAGAACCUUCUAGAAUCUUUUACAACUUUCUAGUGUAUGUCCUUGACAUCACUCCCCCUUUUAGCUUCGAGGUUUCUAAGAAGCACUCAUAUUGCAAGUCAGUACCAAUGUAAGAAAUUAAAAUUUUUUCGCAUAGUAUUUGUAAUAUACUCCAAUUAUUGUUCACACGGCAAGUAAUUCAUUGGUCCUUAUAACCAAUGAUAGUGUCCUAUGCCUUUGAUUUUCGACCAGGCAUGAACUUUCGUGUCUUCAUUGUAAAAAUGCCCUACAAACAUUCCUUUGGGAAGAUCACCAUAAGCAGGUUUUAUCUCAAAUACAAUCACUAGUGACUUAUUACUAAAUAUCCUCUGUCGUCUUCAUGGUACAAGUGGUUCUUCAUUUCGGGGUCGUCUUCGUGAGAUACUCGAUUGAGAGGACAUAAUUGGUAUGAUAUCUAUCUCUUGACUAUCCAUAUCAGACCAAAAAAAUAAGUACUAAAUAUGGAAGAAUGGACUCAGGUUAUAGAUUUAUAGUCUCUAAUUAUGUCUUUUAGAGGUUCCUUCUCCUCCUUCUUUGUAAGGCUGAGGAUAAGAGGCUUCAAGGAAAAAGGACUUCACUGAAAAACUUUCAUCGAAAGGAUUUAGAUUUCUGAGGAUAGUGUUGAUGAAACUCCUGUAUCUUUUGCGAUGCAUUGAUGAGAUUUUCCGCUGGUUCUCAUGUAUACUUAUUGAUAUCAUAGCCGAUCCAAUGCAAUAGGUACUCCAAUUUCUUCCACUUAUGCUGUGAAUCUAGUACCUUUUCCACCUCAUAUUCCUCAUGGUUUUCAAUUUCAAUACUAGGUGGCGGACAUUGCACUCUUCCAGGAAAAGAUGACUCUUGAUAAGGCUCCAACAAAGAAACAUGAAAGACUGGAUGUACCUUCAUAGCAGCUGGUAAACCUAGACGGUAUGCCACUGGAUUGAUUUGCUUAUGGAUAACAAAUGGUCCCAAUCUUCGAUAGUCCAACUUAUCACAUGACCACUUAAUUUUGAUAUUCCGUCGAAGCAACCAUAUUUUAUCUCCAGUUUUGAAAGUAAGUGCUUGAUUUCAAAAUUUAUCUAUAGACGCCUUGUAAGCUUCUUGGGUGGUUUACAAUUGAAGUUUCAAUGUAGUUUAAAGCUCUGAUAGUUGUUUCACAAAUCCUUCAGCUGUCAGAUUGUUAUUGGUUGAUGGACUCAACAAAUCAAGCUUUGGAUGAUACCCAUAGUUGAAAAAAAAUAGUGUUUGUUGAGUCGAUGCAUGAAAGGUGUUAUUAUAUGUAAACUUGGCUAAUAAUAGAUAUGUAGUCCAAUCAUCUUGUUGAUAGUUGAUGCUGCAUCGUAAAUACUAUUCCAAAGUUUGAUUCAUCUAUUUUCUUUGGCCAUCAAUUUGAGGAUAGAAAGUCGAAGAAAGCUUGAUAUCCACUUUUAAUAUCUUAAAGAGAGAUCUCCAAAACUUUGAUAGGAAUUGGAUUCUUCAAUCUGACAUGAUAUCAUCUGAUAAACCAUGAUAUCAAUACACACUAUCAAGGAAGAGCCUUAUUGUGUCUUUGCUUGAAAAUAUUUUUUUGCAAGGAACAAAGUGUGCCAUCUUUGUAAGCCGAUCUACCACAACAAAGAUGCUGUCAAAUGAAUUUGAUGGUGGCAGGUCUGUAAUGAAGUCCAUGAGAACUAAAGACCAUGGCUGACGUCGACUAGGCAAUGGCUGAAGAAGACCAUAAUGGCCAUGCCGAGGAUUCUUGGAUCUUUAACAAAUGUUAUAGGAGAGGAAAAAAUCCUUGACAUCCUUUCACAUUUGGGGCCACCAAAAAUAUUAAAAAAUAAAUUCCAAGGUCUUAUUGAAUCCAAAAUGUCCUGCAAUUGGAAAGUUGUGUUGAGAUUAGAGAACUUGGACUCAUGUUAGUCCCUUUGGAAUAUAUACAACUGCUCCUCAAAGUAUAAAAAGAUCUCUUUUCACCUUGAACAUGUAAUUAUUGACACGUUACAUGAUAUCGAGGGCUACAAAAUCUCCUAUAGUUGUAGUAAGUACUUGAUUGAGGAGGUCAGCAUCAAUUUGUACUAUAGCACAACAAAGCUUGAAUUGUUCCGACUUCAAUAAUAUUGUACAUUGUUGAUCAAAUGCUGCUUCUCCAGCCUUUGGUACUAGAUAUGAUCUCCUUAAAAAUGUAUUAAAUAGUCUUUGUUGCUUCUCAGGCUGAUAAGUAAUAACAAAGUCAAACUUGGAUAGCAACAUAUUCUAUUGAGCUUGACAAUAAUUCAAAACCCGAGGCGACAUGAAAUACUCUAAAUUCUUGAUAUCCGUGUAUAUAAUUAUCGGAUACGUAGCUCCUUUGAGAAAGUGAUGCCACUCUUGGAAAGAAUCCACUAUUACAAGAAGUUCUUUAUUCUGGAUCUCAUAGUUGAUCUCGACAAUAAAAAACUUCCAAGAGUAGAAUGCAACCAAAUGAAGCUUCUCGUCUACACCUAUCUGCAAAAAUACAGCUCUCAUAGCAAAAUCUAAAGCAUUAGUUUUUAAAUAGAAGGCCUUUGUAAAGUCUGAAUGUACCAAGAUUGGAACCAUAGUAAAUGCUAUCUUAAGAUCUUCAAAUACUUUUUCCACUAGAGGUCUCCAUUUGAGCUUGUCUUUACAUGUCAACCAAACGAGUGGAGCAGCAACUUGAGAAUGAUUCUUGAUGAAGAUCCAAUAGAAGUUAGCAAAGCCAAGAAAACAUUGUACAUCUUUAAUCAUCUUUAGAACUUUCUAUGAUACGAUUGCUUCCACCUUCUUAGGAUCCAUCUUCAAGCCUUUCGUAGUUGCAAUGAAUUCCAAAAAUUCCAUCUUAGUUUGGUUAAACAAGCACUUCUCCAACUUGGCAUAAAAUCUUUGCUUGCGGAGUUUUUUCAAGGACCAGACAAACGUGUUUUUCAUCUUCUUCUAUAUUCUUGGAAAAUAUCAAAAUAUCAUCUAGAUAGAUGACAACAAAACUGUCAAGGUGCUCCUGUAAGAUGUCAUUCAUCAUGUGUUGAAAGACUGCCGGAGCAUUGAUAAGACCGAAAGACAUGACAUUAUAUUCAAAAUGGCCAUACCUUGUAUGAAAAGCUAUCUUCUAUUCGUCUCCUUUCUUGAUUCGCAUAAGGUUAUAAGAUCUCUUUAGAUCAAUCUUUGUAAAGAUCCUUACACGCUCAAGUUGCUGUAGAAGACCUGAUAUCAAGGAUAAUGGAUAACGAUUCUUCUUUGUCACCCUAUUGAGACCUCGAUAAUCCACGCACAUCUACAGCGAGCCAUCUUUCUUCUUCACAAAUAAGAUUAGUGUCCUAGCUAGUGACUUUGAAUGAUGUAUGAAGUUCUUGGCUAGAUUCUCAUCAAUGUACUUCCGCAACUCCACUAACUCCAUCUACGAUAAAUUGUAGAUUAGGCCAAAAGGUGGUUGUACUCCUUCUUGUAAAUUUAUGGCACAAUCGUAUGGUCAAUGCUCCAUUAGCAUGUUGACGUUUUUAAAUAAGGGUUUUUUGAUUCGAGAUCUUCUAACAGGCUUACUCUCGAAAUGUUCUGUAGGAAAUGUCAUCCUUCAUAACCUCCAAUCUAUGGAUGGAUUAUACAUUUAUAACCAAGAAAGACCAAGAAUAAUAAGGUUUGAUGGAGUUCUAAUAAUAUUGAAAAUAAUAUAACUACUAUGGUCUUUAAAUGUCAUCUCUACAAGUUCUGAUUCAUGGAUGUCACUACCAAACAAUAAAGGUCGUCCAUCUAUUACUUCUAUAUGAACAGAUUUAGAUUUUUAUACUAGAGGAAUCUCAUGACGCUUAGCAAAUUCUUUGUCUAAAAAGUAAGCAGAUGCUCUUGAAUCUAAUAAUGCUAAGGUUUUUAGUUUCUAAGGGCUAAAAGAUAGAAGAAUGGUAAAGUAAUGGACAGGCUAAGCGAAAAGAGAGGAACCUGAUUGUUAUUGUGGUAUUGAAUUAUUCAGCCACACAAUCCCUAUUAUAACUAGACAUCUUUAUUUUCUUGAAAAAAUGUGCCUCUGGUCUUGACAAUGCGUCGAUUUUGCUUCUUGGGAUAGUUUCUAGCUCUGUGGCCUUCUUCACCACAAUAUAAGCAUAAUCCUUCCUCUAUACGUCACUUUUUUUCUUCUAGAGUUAGGAAUUUGACACGUAUCGCGUCAAUUUGUAUGUCUUCUACCUUUGAAUGUGAAUUCAGGCUGCUUACUGACAUAGUUGGAGCGUGGUGAACUGUAUGUUAUCUUAAGCAUUGAUCUAGGUGGCGUUGGAAUAGAUAGUAAUUGUACUUCAUAGCUUGGCUAAUGGCUUUGUUGAGCAUUCGUGGAUCAAGAAGAAAUAAUAAAAAAUUCUUUACGUCGUUCCUCAAGUUUCAAUAAAAUUGAUUCAUCAAUGCUUCCUCAUCUCAGUUGAUAUUGCACGCAAAUUAUUUGAAAUCUGAUGUAUAGCGUGUCCCUUGUCAUAGCGAUUGGAUCUUUGUUAUAGCCCAUCGCGUCUUGUCAUGUUUGCUAAAUGCUUUUGCAAACGCAUCCAAAAAAGUUUCAAAGUUCUUCAAAAUUGACGAUCUUUUUUCAAACAAAAGAGCAAACUAUGAUAAAGCUUGCUCUGUGAGCAAAGUUCCAACCAGUCCAACACGUGACUCCUCCAUCGGAUAGCGUUUGGGCUGUAAAACUAUUAUCAAUCUAAUUUAAUUGACAAAACCUCGAAACUUGGAACGCGUACUAUCAAACUUAUUUGGAAGGCUAAUUCAGGACUCCUUUCAUUGUAAGACCAAUAGUCCUUGUUGAACUAAAAGCAAAGCUGCUUCUCUUGGUGUUGAAGCUUGAGGCUGGUGAAUCCUCGAUUAUGCCAUUCUAGAUGUUCCAUCAUUAUGAAGUCUUACAAUGAUUCCUUCAAUCUCUACAGUUUUCUGUGAUAACAUAGCAAGAGCAUUCAUAAUAGUGUCCAACUUGGACUCCAAACUUUCAGUCAUACUAAUAUCUUGACCUCCGGCCAUUCUGACAGAAGGAAAGAAAUGGCUCUAUAAGAAGGCAGUAUUGGUUUAGAGGAGGGUACUCUGCAACCUCUAAAAUGCCUUAAAAUCUUCAAGAAGAGGAGUAAUCUACUCUCUCCAAGAAAGAUAAGACUCCAAUAUUAUAAUAGAAGAAAUAUCAGUUUAGAGGAGGAUAAUCCGCAACUUUUAAAAUGCCAGCACCUUCAAGCAGAGGGAUAAUCCACAUUCUAACAAGAAGAAACUAACUCUGAUAAGAAAGAUGAGUGUAGUCUCGACAAACUAUCACAAAUUUAGAAUACUAACUAGAAAUCUAAAUAAAAAGCUCAAGCAGAGUCGAUAAGAACUAGAUUAAUCAGAUGAGUACAAGAACAAUACUAGAGAGGUAAGGUAGAGCUCCAAGAGGUGUGAUGUCAAGACUGAGGAUCCCCUUAGUCUCGAUUCUUGUAUAUACUACAAGCUAAGAAGCUUCUCAAGCAGCUUCUAUGAAUUCGAAAGCUUCUCAAGAAGCUCCCAUGAGCUUGAAAACUUCUCAAGUAGCUUCUACAAAGUACAAAGCUUCUCUAGAAUCUUCUAGAAUCUUCUAUAACUUUCUAGUGUAUGUCCUUAACACUAACUUAUCACAAGGAUUAGUAGUCUUGAUAUUGCAUCAAAGUAACUAUACCUUAUCACCUAUAUUAAAUUAUAAUUGCUCCUUACUAUAGGCAUCUGUAUUGGUCUUUUGUCAUUCUUGAGAUUCUUUUAAUUGUAUCUUCACUGUUACAUGUAGUUGUAAUAAAUGAUUUGCUAAAUCUUCUACUGUAGGAUUAUCAACUUUUAAAAAGUUAAAAGUAUUAAGUCAUGGAUGAUAACCAUAAUUGGUAAAGAAAGAUAUUUAUUGAGUAGAAAAAUGUAUUGAAUUAUUGUAUGUAAACUUUGUUGAUGGCAAAAGAAUUGUCUAAUCAUUUUGAUGAAAGUUGAUGGUACACCUCAAAUACUGGUCUAGAAUUUGAUUCACUCAUUCUCUUUACUUAUUAGUUUGAGGAUGAAAAGCCAAAGAGAGCUUUAUAUCCACUUUUAGAAUCUUGAAUAGGAUUCUUUAAAAUCUUGAUACAAAUUGAGUCUCCCUAUCUAAUAUAAUAUCCUUUGACAAUUCAUGAUAGUAAUAGAUAUUAUCAAUGAAAAACUUAGCUGUUUCUUCACUUCAAAUAGAUUUUAUACAUAGUACAAAAUGUGCCAUUUUGAUGAAGCGAUCUAAGAUUACAAAUAUAGAGUCACAUGAAUUUGAACUUGAAAUUAAAAGAUCUAUAAUAAAAUCUAUAGAAAUAGAUGACCAUCAUUCUUCAAGUAUAAGUAAUGGUUGAAAAAGUCCAUGGGAUCGAUGAUGAGGAGUUUUUGAUCUUGAACAAAUGUCACAUGAUUGAACAAAUUCUUUUACCACCUUCUAUAUUUGCGGCCACCAAAAAUCUCUGAAUAUAAGCUCUAAAGUCUUGUUGUAUUCAAAAUAUCUUGUUGUUGAAAAGUCAUGAUGUACUUGAAGAAGACGUAAAUGUGCUUCUCCUUCUACAAUAUAUAGGUGUCUUUCAAAAUAGAAAAUAGUUUUCUUGAACUCAUUUAUAUUUUUAGAAUAGAUUAAAAUAUUAUUUAAAUAAUAGAUAAAAAAAUCAUCAAGAAACUCACAAAAGAUAUUAUUCAUUAGAUGUUGAAAAGCAGUUGGUGCAUUUGUGAGUCCAAAAGGCAUGACAUUAUAGUCAAAAUUUCUAUACCUAGUUCAAAAAACAAUCUUCUAUUCAUUUGCUUCUUUGAUGCAAACCAGAUUGUAUGCUCUUCAUAGAUUUAUUUUUGUAUAGAUCUUUGCUUGAUUUAGUUAAUCAAGAAGUAUUGAAAUUAAAGGUAGAUGAUACAUGUUCUCGAUGGUGAUCUUAUCAAGUCCUCAAUAAUCCACACAUCCACAAAGAUCCAUCUUUUUUCUUCACAAAUAAGAUAGGAGCCCCGACUAGAGAUUUAGAAUUGUAUAUAAAGUUCUUAGUUAAGUUCUCAUCAAUAUAUUCUUUGAGUGCAACAAAUUCAUUUUGAGAUAGGCUAUAGAUUGGUCUAUAUGGUGGUUGAAUUUCUUCUUAAAGAUCGAUAGUACAAUCAUAAGGACAAUGCUCUGAAAGAAUAUCUGCAUUUUUUUCUUAAAAACGUCCUAUAAAUCUUGAUACUACUAAAGAAUAUGACUUGAGUUUUUUUCACCAUCAGCAAUCGGCAUGGCAUAUAUAAUAAAAGAUGGCCCUUCAUUUGUAGCAUGCAUGAAAGUUCUUGCACCUACCAAUAAGGAUUUGGAUAUAUUAGACUUAUGGAUUCCUACUUGUCUAGUACGACCUUAGGCUAAACUAUGCAAAAAAUCAAGUUUGUAAGAAAUCUAGUCUAUUUGAAGGUUAUAUCUUUCUAAUCAUGAUAAUUUUAAAAUAAUUGGAUUGGAAGGAGAUUUAAUUAUAUUAAAUAUUAUUAAACUAUUGUAACCACUAGUUGCUACUUCUACAUGAGUAGUUUUAUAUGUAACAUCCUUAAAAGACAAUGAAUGUUCAUCUAUUACUUAUGCAUGUACAAGUUUGAUUUUUUUAGUUAAGGACAUAUCUUGUUUUUUGACAAAGUCUUCAUCUAUAAAAUAAGAUGAGGCUCUUGAAUCCAAAAAGGCUAAGACUUUGUGAUUUUUUGGUCCUACAUAAACUUCUAUUAUAAAAUAAGGUGAGAGAUUAGAGAUGAGAAUAAGACCUUUACUAGAUGUUGUAUAUUAUUCCAAGUGUACAAUCCCUAUUGUAGUUAGAGCAAUUCGUUUUUUGACAUAUUAUCUUCUUUGGCAAUUGUGCUUUUCAUUUUGUAAUUGCAUUGUUUUUUUGGACAAUGUUAGGUAAUAUGUUUAAUUUUUUUAUAAUAUAAAUAUAAGCCUUCUUGACAUUGUUGAUUCUUUUCUUGUUCUAUGAAAGAUUUAAAACAUACCGUAUCAAUUUGCAUUGAUUUUGAUGUUAAUGAAUAAAUUUCUGAAAACUUAAGAUUUGCUAUUGUUAUUUGAUUUGUUCCUCUCCAGCCAUAUCUUUCUUCUUUACAUCUUUCAAAUAAUUGAUUGUCACAUGUAAUAGCUCAAGCAAUAAAUUAUUCUAAAGAUUCUAUCUUUGAUAUUGUUAAUAACAAGUCUUUGACCUUAUCCUUUAAUCCAUAUGAAAAUUAAUUAAUAAGGACAUUGUCAUUCCAAUCUAUGUUGCAUGCGAGGUUUUGAAAUUCAGCAACAUAUAUGGUGGCUAAUUGUGAUCCUUACCGUAAAGAUAAGAAUUUGAUUUCUACUACUCUUUUUCAAUUAUUUUCUCCAAAUGUGGUCGUAAAUACUUCUAAGAUGAAUUCAAAUCAUAAAAGAAUCGUGAAUCUUUUUCUAUUAAAGGUGAAAACCAAGACAGAGCUUUUUUUAAUAGAAGUAUACCUUUAAAUCCAACUUGAGUAAAUCCAUCAAGAUAUUAGAAAGGAUACAAUCUUAGAUAGAACUUGAUUUGUUGUAAAAAUCCUCAAAAUUUUGAUCUUGUGCCAUCAAACUUCAUAGGCAUACAAAUCUUUGUCCCUAUCAUACUUGUAGAAAUAAAACUCCCUGGAUUUGGUUGUGAGGUCAAUCUACUUGUUUUUUUCAAUUGCUUAACUUCUUACUACAGAUUCUGAACUUCUUUCAUAGGCAUAGGAAAAGUACUUCUAUGAUUCACAUUGGAAAUAUGUGAGAUUUUUACUCUUAGAGUAUUGACAAGUUCAUAAAGAUGUACAAUAGUUGUAAAUCUAUUCUUACUUCCACUAAGAGUAGCAUCUAUAAUCUUUCUUAUAAUAGAUAAUUCAAACUAAUUUAAAAAGUUAAAUUAGAAGAGGGUAAUCCAAAACUUUUAAUAAAAAAUUUCACAAAGAGGGAUAAUUCACUCUCUUUAAGAAAAAUUUCAAUAUUAGAAAAUAAGAUUUUUUUUUAAAAGAUGGAUAGUUUGUAACCUUCAAAAUAUAAUAAUAGAAGUGAGAUAAUCCACUCACUUCUAAAAUAAUAUAGAAACAAUAUGUUAGAACUCUUGUCAAACUAUCAAAGAUAUGAAUCUUGAAGAAAGAAAAUCUUCAACACACUCUUGUGUCACUGAAGAGAACUAGAAAGUCAUUCAAAAAGUGAUGUAAUAUUAAACUAAAAUGGAUGUUGUCAAAAAACAAGAAGACUAAAAAGUCUUGAAACAAGACUAAGAACUAAAAAAGCAUUGACAAGAGUGAAGAAGGCUUCACUCUUGCCUCUAUAUAUACUCUCUAACUAAGAGCUACAUGGUAAUAUUCUAUAGGACUUCUAAUAUGUAUUGACUUUGUAAGCCACAUGUCUUAACUUGCAAGGCAAGUUGUUUAUAUAUACUCCAUAUAAUUAACUUGUUCCACAAGCUAUUAUAUGGUGUUAAUUUGUUCCACAAGCUAUUAUAUGGAGUUAAUUUGUUCCAUAAGCUACCAACAUGUGGUUAACUUGUUGGUUAAGUUUCUAUCCUACAAAUACAUCUAAAGUCAAAACCACGUCUAAGAAGCUUCUCUAGAAGACUCUAUGAAAUUAAUCUAUAUUUACUUACUUCUACCUAAUGUCAUGGGAUAAGAACUCGAUGAAAGCUAAAGAGUAAGUGAGACUUUUUUCAAAAAGAAAUAGGACAAAAUAGAAAUAUGUAUAUUAAGAAAGAAACUGGAAUGGCUAUUGCCAAAAUACAAGAAAACUAGAGACCCUUGAAACUAGACUAGAAGCAAGAAAGGAGUUGACAAGAGUGAAGAGGGCUUCACUCUUGCCUCUAUAUAUACUAUCUAACUAGAAGCCACGUGGCGAUGUUCUAUAAGACCUCCAAUAUAUGUUGACUUUCUAGGCCACAUGCCUUUGCUUGCAAGGCAAGUUUUCUAUGGAUAGACCACGUAGUUAGCUUGUUCUUUAAGCUUCCAACAUGCGUGGCACAUGGCUAACUUGUUGACCAAGUUUCUAACCUAAAAGUCAACUAUAGACUCCUAUAAAGUCAAAGCAGCGUCUAUAAAGCUUCUAAGAAGCUUCUCUAGAAGAUAUUACACAAUUAACCUACUUUUACAUACUUUUAUCUAUUCAUAUAGGUAAUUAUAUGUAUGUCCGUGACAUUACCCCCCCUUCUAGGGACGAGUUCCACGAGGAGCGGUGAUUAUAUAUUGAGAAAAUCUAAUAUGCGGCGAAUUGUAUUUGCUACAUACUCUGAUCUUUGUUCUCUUCGAAGAUAGUUGAUGGGUCCUCUUAGCCAUCGAUAGUGUCCCAUUCCAGGGCGAGAAGACCACCCUGUUAUUUGAUCAUUGUUGAGGCCUUCAUAACUUCCUUCAAAUAAUACAUUUGAAACACCAUCAAGAGUCGUUCCUAUCUCCAAUAAUAUCACCAAACAUCGAGAAUCUCUUCCAAGGUCGUGAUACCAAACGCGUUGUAUCUCACCAUCUAUUCGAGGAAGAACAUGUCGUUCUUGAGGGUCUUCAUUUCGGUUGCGUCGUCUUGAAGGUUGUGACAAUCGCAAUGUCUCAUCCGGUAAGUCAGCAAACGAAGGUUCUUGAGUUGAAUCCGCUGGUUGUUGGCUCUCCAUCUAAUUAGCGUCACAAAAUGCAAAGAAGUUACAAACAAGGAUAGGAAAUUGAAUGUUAUCUUGCCUCAAUCUUGUCUCUUUUAUAAGAGAGGUUUUCAUCUUGGUUUUGAUGGAUGUCGUUGAUGAAAAACUUUGACUUUAGCUGAUGCAUUUGCUAGAUUCCUGGAUGGCUCCCAUGUGCGCUCACUAAUAUCAUAUCCGCACCAAUGAACAAGAUAUUCCAGCUUAUUUCGGCGCUGCCUUGAGUCUAAUAUCUCUUCCACCUCAAAUUCUUCAUUAUUAUCUACUUCUAUAGGAGGCGGUGGCAUUUGUCUUCUUCCUUGUAUAUCCACUGUCUUAUAUGGUUCAAGAAAAGACACGUGGAAUACAGGAUGGAUCUUCAUUGACUCCGGUAGAUGUAAUCGAUAUGCAACUGGGUUGAUCUGUUCAGAAACAAAAAAGGGGCCAAGCCUACGAUAGUCCAAUUUGUCACAAGGUCGAGUGGUCUUGAUAUUGCGACGAAGUAGCCAUACCUUAUCACCCACGUUGAGUUGUGGUUGCUCUUUACGAUAUACAUCUGCAUUUAUCUUUUGUCGUUCUUGAGCUUUCUUCAACUGCGCCUUCAUUAUUACAUGUAACUCUGACAACCGAUUUGCCAUAUCUUCUGCUGCAGGAUUAUCAACUUUUGAAAAAUCAAAAGUAUCAAGUCGUGGAUGAUAGCCAUAAUUGGCAAAGAAAGGUGUUUGUUGCGUGGAGGAAUGUACCGUAUUAUUAUAAGCAAACUCUGCCAAUGGCAGAAGGUUUGUCCAAUCAUCUUGUUGGUAGUUGAUGGUACACCUUAAAUACUGUUCCAAGACUUGGUUUACGCGCUCUGUUUGUCCAUCAGUUUGAGGAUGGAAAGCUGAAGAUAGCUUUAUGUCCACUUUUAAAAUCUUGAAAAGAGUCCUCCAGAAUCUCGACACAAAUUGAGUUCCCCUAUCCGAUAUGAUAUCUUUAGGUAAUCCAUGAUAGCGAUAGAUAUUAUCAAUGAAAAGCUUAGCUGUUUCUUCACCUGUGAUAGAUUUUGAACAUGGCAUAAAAUGUGCCAUCUUGGUGAAACGAUCUACUAUCACAAAUAUAGAAUCAUAAGAUCUUGAGUUUGGAAGAUCUGUGAUGAAAUCCAUAGAAACAGAAGACCAUGGUUGUUCUGGUAUAGGUAAUGGCUGAAGAAGUCCGUAAGGUCGAUGUCGAGGAAUUUUUGAUCUUGAACAAAUAUCACAUGAUUGUACAAAGUCUUUGACUGACUUCCACAUUUGUGGCCACCAAAAAUCUCUUGAUAUGAGUUCCAAAGUCUUAUUAUAUCCAAAGUGCCCUCCUGCUGGAAAGUCAUGACGUGCUUGAAGAACACACAAACGUUCUUUUCCUUCUGGAACAUAUAGGCGUCCUUCAAAAUAUAAUAGAUUAUUCUUGAACUCGAACUUAGAAGAAUCAUGAGACUUGAAAGAAUUAUUCUCGAUAUCAUGAACAAGAGGGUCUGAGGACAUACUGGACUGGAUUUGCUUGAGAAAAGUUGAAUCAACAGUCAAUGUUGAUUUCACUGCUCGGAGAUGAAAUUGCUCCGGUUUCAAGAGGACCGUUCUUUGUUGCUCAAAAGCUGCAUCUCCUUCUUUUGGUGCAAAAUAAGAACGUCUAGACAGGGCAUCGGAUAAACCUUGUUGUUUUCUUGGCCGAUAAGUGAUAAUGAAGUCGAAUCUUGACAAAGACAUACUCCAACGAGCUUGACGACGAUUCAACACGCGUGCUGACAUGAAAUACUCGAGGUUCUUGUGAUCUGUAUACACAGUGACUGGACUAAAAGCACCUUCUAGAUAAUGACGCCAUUCUUGAAAGGAAUCCACGAUUGCAAGAAGUUCUUUAUCGUGGAUCUCAUAAUUGAUCUCGGCUGCUGAGAAUUUUCUUGAAUGAAAAGCUAUCGGAUGAAGUUUGUCAUCUGUUCCCAUUUGUGAUAAAACUGCACCCAAGGCAAAAUCCGAUGCGUCUGUUUCCAUAAAAAAUGCCUUGGAAAAGUCAACACGAUAUAAGACUGGUGCAGAGACAAACGAUGUCUUCAAGGCUUCAAAUGCUGCUUCCGCUUCUUGAUUCCAUUGGAAUUUAUCUUUACUAGUCAAGCGUGUAAGUGGAGCUGCAACUCGUGAGAAGUCUUUGAUGAAGAUCCGAUAGUAAUUGGCAAAUCCCAAGAAACAUUGGACAUCUCUCACAGUCUUUGGAAUCUUCCAAUCCAUGAUUGUUUGGACUUUCUUAGAAUCCAUCAUAAGACCAUCAUUUGAAAUGAUGUAUCCUAAAAAGUCAACUUGAGUAGUGUGAAAUACACACUUUUCCAUCUUGGCGUACAAUCCUGCAUCUCUGAGUUUUUGUAAUACUUGACGAACAUGUAUUUCAUGUUCUUCAACAUUCUUAGAAUAAAUCAGGAUAUCGUCUAGGUAGCAGAUGACAAAAUUGUCUAAGAAUUCACGAAAUACAUCAUUCAUGAGAUGUUGAAAAGCAGCUGGUGCAUUCGUGAGUCCAAAAGGCAUGACAUUAUAUUCAAAAUGCCCGUACCUGGUUCGAAACGCAGUCUUCCAUUCAUCUCCUUCUUUGAUCCGUACUAGAUUAUAUGCUCCUCUUAGAUCUAUUUUUGUAUAGAUCUUAGCUUGAUUCAACUGGUCAAGGAGCCCUGAUAUCAAAGGUAAUGGAUACCUAUUCUUGAUUGUGAUCUUGUUGAGUCCUCGAUAGUCAACACACAUUCGUAAAGAUCCAUCUUUUUUCUUUACGAAUAAAAUUGGAGCUCCUGCUGGAGAUUUUGAAUGGCGUAUGAAAUUCUUCGCUAAAUUCUCGUCAAUAUAUGUCUUGAGUUCAGCCAACUCAUCUUGCGAUAAAUUGUAAAUUGGUCCAAAUGGUGGCUGAGUUCCUUCCUUGAGAUCGAUUGAACAAUCGUAUGGGCGAUGCUCAGGAAGAAUAUCUGCAUUCUUUUUUUCAAAAACGUCUUGAUAAUCCUGAUAUUGACUUGGAAUGCCACUUGAAGUCUUUACGCUUUCAGAAAUAGGUGCAGCAUAAAUAGCAAAAGUUGAUCCUUCUUUUGCUGCGUGUAUAAAUGCUUUUGCACCUAUAGGUGUGAGUUUUACUAUACUAGACUCAUGGUUUUUUACUUGGUUAAUAGAACUGUUACUAAUGCUCUGAGGAAAAUCAAGUUUACGAGAAAUCCAAUCUAUUCGAGGAUUAUACUUUUCUAACCAUGAUAAGCCUAAAAUUACUGGAUUAGAGGGAGAUCUAAUUAUAUUAAAAAUUACGCAACUACUAUGACCAUUUAUUACUACAUCUACAGGAAGUGUUUCGUGAGUUACAUCUCCAGAAGACAACGGACGACCAUCUAUGACUUCUACGUGUACAGGUUUAGUUUUUUGUAUUAAUGAUAUUCUAUGACAUCUAGCAAAUUCUUCAUCUAAAAAACAAGAUGAGGCUCCUGAAUCUACCAAGGCAGAGGCUUUGUAAUUAUUAGGUCCUAAACGCACAUCUAUUAUAAAACAAGGAGAUGGUUUUGAGGAGAGGAUAGGACCUUUAUUAGAAGUUGUACAAGAUUCCAGCCGCACGGUCCCUAUUGUAGCUGGACGUACUCGUUUUCCGACAUACUGUCUUCUUUGACAGCCGUACUCCUCAUUUUGUAGUUACGUCGCUUCUUUGGACAAUGUUGAGCAGUGUGCUUAGGUUCUCCACAAUAUAAGCACAAUCCUUCUUGUCGACGACGAGACUUUUCUUGCUCAGUAAGAGGUUUGAAACGUACCGCAUCAAUUUGCAUAUCCUCUACUUCCAAAGGUAUGUGUUGAGGAGACGUCGGUGUUGCCAUUGAAUUGUAGUAACGUUGAGGCCCACUUGUGCGACUCUCGGAUCGAAAUUCAAAAAGUCGAUUGUCACACUUCACAGCAAAGUCAAUUGCUUGACUCAAUGUUUGAGGAUCAGGUAAAUUAAGCAUCAAUUUCUUUACCUCAUAUUGUAAUCCGUAGAGAAAUUGACUCACAAGUGCGGCAUCAUCCCACUUGAUAUCAGUUGCAAGUUGUCGAAAUUGCGAAGCAUAUAAUGUUACUGAUCGAUUGCCUUGUCGCAAAAUACGGAUCUUGUUGGUUGCAACACGAAUUGCAUCAUGUUCUCCAAACAUGGAUCGAAACUCCGCCAAAAAAGCCUCCAGAUUAUCCAAUAUUGGAUCUCGUCGUUCAAGAAAAGAUGAAAACCAUGACAAUGCUGAACCUAAAAGAAGUGUACCAAUGAAUCUUACUUGUGACCCUGGAGUUGGAUAGCUCUGGGGUUGAAGUUCAAUCACUAGUUGGACCUGAUUGAUGAAUCCUCGAAACUUGGAUCUGGUACCAUCAAACUUCUCGGGCAAGGCAACUCUCGGUUCUCUAACACUCGAAGGGUGUUCCAUUCUGGGAGAAAAGACAUGGUUUGGUGCAGAUGUUGAAGCAGCCCCAAUCAUCUCUAUAUCUUCACUUCCUACCAUUCUUGUUGCUCCUUGUGGUGGUAAAUUGAGUUGAUGCAUCGCAAGCAUUAACUCCCUCAAUUGUUCUUGCAUCUGUGCCAUUGCACUCUUCAUUUCAACAAGCUCUGCCAUAGUAGCACUUAGAAAAGAGAAGAUGUCUAACAACGCUCAAAACAAAUAGAAGAGAGGAAUUGAUAACAAAGAAAAUACUAAGAACAAUAUCAGUUUAAAAGAGGGUAAUCCGCAACUUCUAAUGCGCUUAUGUCUUAUCAAGAAAAAGGGGUAAUCCACUCUUAAUCAAGAAAAGACAAAGCUCUGAUAUUGUAAGUGUACUCUUGUCAAUCUGUCAUGGGACAAGAACUCGAUGAAAGCUAAAGAGUAAGUGAGACUUUUUUCAAAAAGAAAUAGGACAAAAUAGAAAUAUGUAUAUUAAGAAAGAAACUGGAAUGGCUAUUGCCAAAAUACAAGAAAACUAGAGACCCUUGAAACUAGACUAGAAGCAAGAAAGGAGUUGACAAGAGUGAAGAGGGCUUCACUCUUGCCUCUAUAUAUACUAUCUAACUAGAAGCCACGUGGCGAUGUUCUAUAAGACCUCCAAUAUAUGUUGACUUUCUAGGCCACAUGCCUUUGCUUGCAAGGCAAGUUUUCUAUGGAUAGACCACGUAGUUAGCUUGUUCUUUAAGCUUCCAACAUGCGUGGCACAUGGCUAACUUGUUGACCAAGUUUCUAACCUAAAAGUCAACUAUAGACUCCUAUAAAGUCAAAGCAGCGUCUAUAAAGCUUCUAAGAAGCUUCUCUAGAAGAUAUUACACAAUUAACCUACUUUUACAUACUUUUAUCUAUUCAUAUAGGUAAUUAUAUGUAUGUCCGUGACACCUAAUCAUAUAAGUAACUAUUGGGAUAAAUGUAUAUGUUUGUGACAUAUAUUCAAAUAUACACCUUCUUUCUUUGUUAAUAUAUUAGUAUAAAAAUUUAUAUCCACAUCAUCUUUUAAAUCAAUCAUAUCUUUUUUAUUAUAAUACCUUAUUCUUAAUAACAUAUUUGUGACUUAAUUUUCUUUCUUUGAAAUAUAUUUAAAUUUUAGAUUUAUGGAUUUGAUAUAUGCUAUCUAACUUAACAUAAUAAUAUCAGGAGUUGAACAACUUAUAAUCAUGUCCAAUAAAUAUAGGCAAUUUAAAUCUAUAACUAUCAAUGCACCAAUGAAGUACAUUUUUAUUUUUAUUUUUUACAGCCAUUACUACAUCCCAUAAGUCUCUUUUGAUUUUUGCAUACAUCUUUUCUCUAGCAUUCAAAACCUUUGCUCCAAAUCUUACUAUAUAUCUAUUUCUUUAUUCAUCAUCUUAUCUAACUGUCUAACCUAUUCCAAUUGGACUUAUACCAAUUAUUAAUAUCACAAGCCUUCUACAUUUAUAAUUUAUUUUCUUCAAAAAUAGAGGUGAAAAAAGAAUUUCUUUUAAUUUUUUCAUAACUUUUUUUUCUUCUUCUUUCUGUUGAAUUUUUUUUCUUUUUUAAUAAUUUUUACAAUGGAUUUGUUACAUAUAUAAAAUAAGGUAUUUAUAUAUGAUAGAAAAUACAUGCUCUCAAAAAACUUCUAACUUUUAUUGCUAUCAUACUAUAAUUAUUUAUAAUGUAAAAAAAUUAACUAAUAUUUAUAAAUAUUGAUAUAUAUUAGAAUUUUUAAUAGGUUAAUUUAAAAAAAAUUGAUAUAAGAAAAUUUAUUUUGAAGUUAACUUAUUUUGAUUAUAGUUUUUAAAUUAUAUAGAAUUUAGAUAUUUAAUAUUAAAUUUUAAAAAAAGAUUGAAACUCAAAAAUGAAGAUCCAAACUUCCAAAAAGCUUAUUUGGAGGGAUGAAAGUAAGGUAUGGAUGGAUGAAGGCAAGAGGUGAGGAUCUUCAUCUUUAUUUGUUGAAAGACAUAUCAAUAGGUUCUUAGGAGUCUAUCUACAACCAUAACAAGGAUUUUGGUAACUUCAAAAAGAACAAUUGAGAAUCAAAAAUAAUAGUUGUCAGGUUUAGGAUUUGAAUUAUAAUUUGUAUACAAAUUUUAGAUGGUUUGAAGUUAGAAUAAUGAAGUUAUAGCCGUUUGAAUUUAGAUAUCUUUUUUAGAUAUAUUAUUACUCUUUUGAAGAUAGAAGGAGUUGUACAAUAGCUUUUGGAGAUUGAAAGAUGUGGUUAUAAGAGUGAUUUUAAGACCUAUAUCUUUUUUAAAAGAAUUGCUAUAUUUGAAGUUUAUGUAAAAGAAUUAUAAAGCAUGCAAGACAUCACAUGUAAUUCAAAGGCAAUAAGUGAGUUGUUUUAUUAAUAGUAAUGGUUGGAAUCAUAUUUUGAAUUUGUAAACAAAUUUUUAGCUCAGAAUUUUCAAAGAUGUGAAUUAUUAGGUUAAAAAUCUAUAUAUAAAAAUUUUAUGGUAUUUAAAUACUUUAUUUGUGAGAUAUGAAAAAAAAUUGCAUGUGGAUUUGUAUAAAGAAGGAUUUGAAACUAUUAUUAGGAUUUUAGUGAUAUCUCAAGAUUCAUAAUGAAUUUAUAGCUAAAAUUUGUUUUGGUAGUUAUUUGAAGUAUAUUAAUAUUUUAUAUAAAAUAUUAAUUUGUUUGGAUGGUUUAAUCGUGAGAUAUGAAAGAAUUUGUUUGAAAAAAAAUUAUUUUAAGGAUAUAUAAGGUUUUAGAAUAUUUUUAUCACAUUUUGGAUGUUCUUUGGUAUUUAGAACUUAAAUAUUGAUGUAAUUGUAUCUAUAAGGAUAAUUUUAUAUAUAAAGUUGGUACUUUUUUAUCUUGAAAUUUGAUUGAGAAAUUAGUGAUAGCUAAAAGUCCAAUGCUUUUUUAAGGUAAAUUCUCUUACCUUUGAUAUAUUAAUGCUUUCAUUGAGAGAACCUUGAGGCACUAAAUUUCUCAAUAAAUUAAGAUGGAAGAUCAAAUCUUAAGAUUUUCAAUACCAAGUAGAAUGAGAUCCUAUAAUUUAUUCAAGAUAUUUAUUGAAUUUAUGAAAGAAAGGCAACAUGUACAUGACGAGGAUAGAAACACCACCAAAGUUUUAUAAGUAGCAAUGGAUAAGAUUAGAAGGUUUGUUAGAAGGAAUAUCAUUAAGUUUCGAAGGAUUUAUACAUGUAAAAUAGAAGUGCAUCCAAUUUCAAAAAUAAUGAUGAUUACCACCUUUAAUUUGGCAAUAAUACCAAAAAUCAAAGAGAGAGUAUAAGAGUUGCAUAUUGAGGCUAUAUCAUAGAAGAAAUUUGAAGAACUCUUGAAAAAUGAAUUUUUUAAAGAAGAUUUAGAAAAAAUAACAAAACAGAUCUUUUUGAGUGGAUUGAAUAUAGGCAAGAGAAUCAAAUAGCUUCAAAUAAAUUAAUUAAGAAAUUUGAGACUAAAUUUGAAUAAUUUCUAUGACAAAAGAAAUAACUCUUGAAAACAAAAAAAACUAAGUUAUUCUUAUAAAUAACUGAUGAAUACUUAGAAGAUAAGUUAUUCUUUUAUCUAAUAAAUAAGACAUCUAAGAGUUAUUUUAUUAAUAAUUUGAGGCUAAUAAAAGUCAUAAUAGAUCUUGUGACUAAGCAACAAAAGAUUAAGACUUGUGGUUUAAUAUCAAGACUAGAAUCAGUGUGUACAUUUCAAAAUCUAGUACUACCUCAUAAGGUGGUCAAGAUUAUGAAGGUUGACAAUCUUCAAGAAUUGAUCAAAGACAUAUAGAAUUUUAGAGAAUAAAUGAUUGAGUUGAAGAAAUCUUAGAUGGAAAGCUCAAAAAAUAUAAUUGAAGAUUCAAAAGAAUUUGUAAAAAGAUAUAUGCAAUGUGACAAUCCAAACGAAAAGUGUGAUAACUAUGAUAAUUAUAAGGCUACAAUCAAGGGAUUUUGUAUAUUUUAAAGAAGAUAGGAUAAAACUCACAAGAUCAAAUGAACCUUUGAAGACUAAUUUUAAUAAAGAUGGCAUGAAAAAAUUGGUGGAGGAAUAAAUAUCAAAAUGUAAUGCUAUACCCAAAAAAAAAAAAAAAAAAAAAAAAAAAAAAAAAAAUCUUACUCUAUUAUAGUUAAGUAAAAAAUAAUUAAGACUAAUUUCUUAUUAACUACUAAAGCCAUGAUCAAGGAAGUUGAAGCUAUCUAAAAAAUGACUAGAUGGAGUAAUUCAAUUGAUAUUAUUAGUAUUAAAGUAUUUUUAUGUGAAAACAAAUAUGAUGAUGAUUUGUAUGAUGCUAUGGUUGAAAAAAAAAAGAUGUAGAGCUAUUUAUAAACAGGAUGUUGAAUUGUCAAGGACAAGAACUCGAUGAAAAAAUAAUUCAGACAAGUGAGCCUUCACUCAAAGAAAGGUAACAAAAUAUAAAUAAACAAGUAUGUAUAUUCAAAGAGAAACUGGAAUGGCUAUUACCAAAAGACAAGAAAAUUAGAGACCCUUGAAACUAGAUUGGAAGCAAGAAAGGAGUUGACAAGAGUGAAGAAGGCUUCACUCUUGUCUCUAUAUAUACUAUCUAACUAGGGGCUACGUGGCAACAUUCUAUAGGACCUUCAAUAUGUGUUGACUUUGUAAGACACAUGCUUUGACUUACAAGGUAAGUUUUUCUAUGUGUGUGCCACAUAGUUAGCUUGAUCUUUAAGCUAACAACAUGUGUGGCACAUGGCCAACUUGUUGACCACGUUUCUAAUCCAAAAAGUCAAUUAAAGACACCUAUGAAGUCAAAGCAGCGUCUAUAAAGCUUCUAGGAAGCUUCCAUAUUAAAUACUAUAGAAUUAACUUACUUUUAUCUAUUUUUACUUACUUCUACUUAUUUAUAUAUGUAAUUACUAGCUUACAUGAGUAUGUCUGUGACAUUACCCUCCCUUCUAGGGACGAGUUCCACGAGGAGCGGUCAUCAUAUGUUGAAGAAAUCUAUGAUGCGAUAAAUUGUAUUUACCACAUACUCUGAUCUUUGCUUUCUUCGAAGAUGAUUGAUAGGGCCUCUCAACCAUCGGUAAUGUCCCAUACUAGGGCGAGAAGACCACCCAGUUAUUUGAUCAUUGUUGAGGCCUUCAUAACUUCUUUCGAAUAGAACAUUUGGAACACCAUCAGGAGUUGUUCCUACCUCUAGCAAAAUCACCAAACAUUGGAAGUUCCUUCCCAAAUCGUGAUAUCAAACGCGUUGUAUCUCGCCAUCUAUUCGAAGAAGAACAUGUCGUUCUUGAAGAUCUUCAUCUCGAUUGCGUCGACUUGAAGGUUGUGACAAUCAUAAUGUCUCAUCCGGCAGGUCAGCAAAUGAAGGCUCUUGAGUUGAAUCCACUGGUUGUUGGUUCUCCAUCUCUUGAACAUCACAACUACAAAGAAGCUACGAACAAGGAUUGAAAGUAAAAUGUUGUCUUGCCUAGAUGUUGUUUCUUUUAUAAAGAAGGUUUUCAUCUUGAUUUUGAUGGAUGUCAUCGAUGAAAAGCCUCCAUCGCCUUUGCUGUAUUUGCAAGAUUCUUUAUUGGCUCCCAUGUACAUUCACUAAUACCAUAUCCGCACCAAUGGACAAGAUAUUUCAAUUUAUUUCGGCGCCGCCUUGAAUCUAAGACUUCUUCUACUUCAAACUCUUCAUUAUUGUCCACUUCUAUAGGAGGAGGUGGAGCUUGUCAUCUUUUUGGUAUAUCCACUGUCUUGUAUGGUUCAAGAAGAGACAUGUGGAAUACUGGAUGGAUUUUCAUUGACUCCGGUAGAUGUAAACAAUAUUCAACUUGAUUGAUUUGUGUAGAAAUAGAAAAUAGUCGCAGCCUUCGAUAGUCUAACUUAUCACAAGGAUGAGUGGUCUUGAUAUUGUGACAAAGUAGCCAUACCUUAUCACCCAAGAGGAAUGGUCGUUGUUCCUUUUGAUAGACAUCCGCAUUGACCUUUUAUUGUUCUUGAGCCUCUUUUAAUUGUGCCUUCAUCGUUGCAUGUAGCUUUGAUAAAUGAAUCGCCAAAUCUUUCGCAGUAGGAUUAUCAACUUUUGAAAAGUCAAAAGUAUCAAGUCGUAGAUGAUAACCAUAAUUAGCAAAGAAAGGUGUUUGUUUUGUAGAAGAAUGUACCGUAUUAUUGUAAUCAAACUGUGCCAAUGGCAAAAGAGUUGUUCAAUCAUCUUGUUGGUAGUUAAUGGUACAUCUUGAAUAUUGCUCCAAAACUUGAUUAAUACGCUCCGUUUGUCCAUCAGUUUGAAGAUGGAAUACCGAAGAUAGUUUUAUAUCCACUUUUAGAAUCUUGAAAAGAGUUCGCCAAAAUCUUGAUACAAAUUGAGUUCCCUUAUCUGAUAUAAUAUCCUUAGGUAAUCCAUGAUAGUGAUAGAUAUUGUCAAGAAAGAGCUUAGCUGUUUCUUCACUUGUGAUAGAUUUUGUACAUGGUACAAAAUGUGCCAUCUUGGUAAAAUGAUCUACUAUCACGAAUAUAGAAUCAUAAGAACCUGAGAUUGGAAGAUCCGUGAUGAAGUCCAUAGAAACAGAAGACCAUGGUUGUUCUGGAAUGGAUAAUGGCUGAAGAAGUCCAAAAGGUCGAUGACAAGGAAUUUUUGAUCUUGAGCAAAUAUCACAUGAUUGUACAAAAUCUUUAACUGCCUUCCACAUUUGAGGCCACCAAAAAUCCCUAGAUAUCAACUCCAAAGUCUUAUUAUAUCCAAAAUGUACUGCUGUUGAAAAGUCAUGAUGAGCUUGAAGAAUACGUAAACAUGCUUCUCCUUCUGGAACAUAUAGGCGUCCUUCAAAAUAGAGUAGGUUGUUCUUGAAUUCAAAUUUAGAGGGAUCAUGAGAUUUAGAAGAAUUAUUCUUCAUAUCAUGAACAAGAGGGUCUGAAGACAUACUUAACUAAACUUGCUUUAAAAAAGUUAAAUCAACAAUCAAUGUUGAUUUUAUUGCUCGAAGAUGAAAUUGCUCUGGCUUUAAGAGAACCGUUCUUUGUUGCUCAAAAGCUGCAUCUCUUUCUUUUGGUGCAAGAUAAGAACGUCUAGAUAAGGCAUCCGACAAACCUUGUUAUUUUCCUGGCCGAUAAGUGAUGUUGAACUUAAAUCUUGAUAAAGACAUGCUCCAACGAACUUGACAAUGAUUUAAUAUGCGUGCUGACAUAAAAUAUUCGAGGUUCUUGUAAUCUGUAUACAUGGUGACUGGACUGGAAGCACCUUCUAGAUAAUGAUGCCAUUCUUGAAAAGAAUCCACAAUUGCAAGAAGUUCUUUGUCAUGGAUCUCAUAAUUGAUUUCUACCGCUGAGAAUUUUCUUGAAUGAAAGGCUAUUGGAUGAAGUUUGUCAUCUGUUCCCAUUUGUGACAAAACUGCACCCAGAGCAAAGUCUGAUGCAUCUGUUUCCAUAAAGAAUAUAUUGGAAAAAUCAACACGAUACAAGAUUGGUGCAGAAAUAAACAUCGUCUUCAAAGAUUCAAAAGCAACUUCUGCUUCUUGAUUCCAUUGGAGUUUGUCUUUACAAGUCAAACGUGUAAGUGGAGCUGCAACUCGAGAGAAGUCUUUGAUGAAGAUCCGAUAGUAGUUGGCAAAUCCCAAAAAAUAUUAGACAUCUCUUACCGUUUUUGGGAUCUUCCAAUCUAUAAUAGUUUGAACUUUCUUAGGAUCCAUCAUAAGUCCAUCAUUUGAAAUGAUGUAACCUAAGAAAUCGACUUGAGUAGUAUGGAAUACACACUUUUCUAUCUUGGUAUAGAAUCUUGCAUCUCUUAAUUUUUGUAACACACAACGAACAUGAAAUUCAUGUUCUUCUGGAUUCUUAGAAUAGAUCAAGAUGUCGUCUAGAUAACAUACCACAAAAUCGUCCAAAAAUUCUCGAAAAAUAUCAUUCAUUAGAUGUUGAAAAGCUACUAGUGUAUUUAUAAGUCCAAAAGGCAUGUUGUUGUAUUCAAAAUGUCCAUACCUAGUUCGAAAUGCAGUCUUCUAUUCAUCUCCUUCUUUGAUACAUACUAGAUUGUAUGCUCUCCGAAGAUCUAUUUUUGUAUAGAUCUUAGCUUGAUUCAGUUGAUCAAGGAGUCCAGAUAUUAAAGGUAGUGGAUACCUAUUUUUGAUGGUAAUCUUGUUGAGUCCUCGAUAAUCAACACACAUCCACAAUGAUCCAUCUUUUUUCUUCACAAAUAGAUUUGGAACUCCUACCAGAGAUUUUGAAUGGCGUAUGAAAUUCUUGGCUAGAUUUUCUUCGAUAUACUCCUUGAGUUCAGUCAACUCAUUUUGUGAUAAACUAUAGAUUGGUUCGAAUGGCGGUUGUCCUCUUUCUUGAAGGUCAAUUGAGUAAUCAUAGGGAUGAUGUUCCGGGAUUGUAUCUGCAUUCUUUUUUUUGAAUACAUCUUGAAAUUCUUGAUAUUGGCUUGGAAUGCCACUUGAAGUCUUUUCACCAGUAGAAACAGGUGUGGCAUAAAUAAUAUAUGGUGAUUCUUUCAUAGCAGCAUGCAAGAAAGCUUUUGCACCUAUAAAUAUGAGUUUAAUUGAACUGGACUUAUGACUCUCUACUUAAUUAAGUACACUAUUAGUUAUACUUUUAGAGAAAGUAAGAGUUUGAAAAAUCCAAUCUAUUUGAGGGUUGUAUUUUUCUAACCAUGAUAAACCUAAAAUGACUGGAUUAGAGGGAGAUCUAAUGAUAUUAAAUACUACAAAACUAUUAUGACCAUUGAUUAUUACUUCUAUAUGAAGGGUUUUGUGAGUAAUAUCUCCAGAAGAUAAUGGACGACCAUCUAUGACUUCUACAUGAAUAAGUUUAGUUUUCUUUACUAAAGAUAUGCUAUGUCUUUUAGUAAAUUCUUCAUCUAAAAAAUACGCUGAGGCUCCCGAAUCUAACAAGGCAGAGACUUUGUAAUGUUUAGGUCCUAAAAUAAUAUUUAAUAUAAAACAAGGAGAGGGCUCUAAGGAGAGAAUAGGACCUUUAUUUGAUGUUGUGCAAGGUUCAAGCCGCAUGGUCCCUAUUGUAGCUGGACAAACUCGUUUUCCAAUAUAUUAUCUUCUUUCACAGUCAUACUCCUCAUUUUGUGAUUACGUCAUUUCUUUGGACAAUGUUGAGCAGUGUGUUUUGGUUCUCCACAAUAUAAACAUAAUCCUUCUUAACGACGACAAGUCUUUUCUUGCUUAGUAAGAGGUUUGAAAUGUACUGCAUCAAUUUGCAUAUCCUCUACUUCUAAAUGUAUGUAUUCAAGAGGUAUUGAUGUUGCCAUUGAAUUAUAGUAAUGUUGAGGUCGGUUCUUAGAUCGAAAUUCAAAAAGACGAUUGUCGCACUUCACAUCAAAGUCAAUUGCUUGACUCAAUGUUUGAGGAUCAGAUAAGUUGAGCAUUAAUUUUUUUACCUCAUAUUGUAAUCCGUAGAGAAAUUGGCUAAUAAGUGCAGCAUCAUCCUACUUGAUAUCAGUUACAAGUUGUCAAAAUUGUGAAGCAUACAACGUUACUGAUCGAUUGCCUUGUCGUAAAAUAUGAAUCUUAUUGGUUGCAACAUGAAUUGCAUCAUGUUCUCCAUACGUGGAUCGAAACUCUGCCAAAAAAGCCUCUAGAUUAUCCAAUAUUGGAUCUCGUUGCUCAAGAAAAGAUAAAAACCAUGAUAGUGCUGAACCUGAAAGAAGUGUAUCAAUGAAUCUAACUUGCGAUCUUAGAGUUGGAUAGCUUUGGGGUUGAGGUUCAAUCACAAGUUGCACUUGAUUGAUAAAUCCUUGAAACUUGGAUCUAGUGCCAUCAAAAUUCUCGAGUAGGUUAAUUCUUAGUUCUCUAACACUGGAAGGAUGUUCCACCAUAGGAGAAAGGACAUGGUUUGGUGCAGAUGUUGAAGCAGCUCCAACCAUUUCUAUAUCUUCACUUCCUGCCAAUCUUGUUGCUCCUUGUAGUAGUAAAUUGAGUUGAUGCAUCGCAAGCAUUAACUCCCUCAAUUGCUCUUGCAUUUGUGCCAUUGCAUUCUUCAUUUCAACAAGUUCUGCGAUGAUAACACUUAGAAAAGAGAAGGUGUCUAAUAUCACUCAAGACAAAUAGAAGAGAGGACUUGAGAACAAAGGAAAUACUAAGGACAAUAUCAGUUUACAAGAAGGUAAUCCGCAACUUCUAAUAUGCUUAUAUCUUAUCAAGAAAAAGGGAUAAUCCACUCUUAAUCAAGAUUAGACAAAGCUCUGAUAUUAUAGGUGUAUUCUUGUCAAUCUGUCAAGGACAAGAACUUGAUGAAAAAAUAAUUCAGAAAAAAAAGCCUUCACUCAAAAAAAGAUAACAAAAUAUAAAUAAAUAAGUAUGUAUAUUCAAAGAGAAACUGGAAUGGCUAUUACCAAAAGACAAGAAAACUAGAGAUCCUUGAAACUAGACUGGAAGCAAGAAAGGAGUUGACAAGAGUGAAGAAGGCUUCACUCUUGUCUCUAUAUAUACUAUCUAACUAGGGGCUACGUGGUGACGUUCUAUAGGACCUCCAAUAUGUGUUGACUUUGUAGGACACAUGCCUUGACUUACAAGGUAAGUUUUUCUAUGUGUGUGCCACAUAGUUAGCUUGAUCUUUAAGCUAACAACAUGUGUGGUACAUGGCCAACUUGUUGACCACGUUUCUAAUCCAAAAAGUCAAUUAAAGACACCUAUGAAGUCAAAGCAGCGUCUAUAAAGCUUCUAGGAAGCUUCCAUAUUAAAUACUAUAGAAUUAACUUACUUUUACCUACUUUUACUUACUUCUACCUAUUUGUAUAUGUAAUUAUUAGCUUACAUGAGUAUGUCCGUGACAUGAACUUAAAAAUGAGAAGAUGUCUCUAAAUAAUAAAGAAGCUUCUAAAGAGUAGAAAUCAGAAAAGAUACCUUCUUCAACUCAUCUUAGUAGUACUUCAUUUCCAAAAGAGUGAUAGGAGAAGAACAAAGAGAAGAAAAAAGAUGACACAAGUAAACCUUAAGAUAAGAAUCUUGCUUAUAAGCUUCAAUCUAAAAUUGAGACAUCUACAGAUAUGAAAAAUAUUUUAAAAGAGAGGAUCUUGGAUGCCAAAAUAAAAUUUACUCUAAAAGAGGCUCUUGCUAUAACCAAGAAUGAUUUCUAUGAAUUGAUCAUCAAUGAGAUAAAAAAAUAAAAA
rnacentral:lncRNA from 1 species